rnacentral:rRNA from 1 species
GACGAAGGGGGCUAGCGUUGUUCGGAAUUAUUGGGCGUAAAGAGCUCGUAGGCGGUUUGUCGCGUCUGCCGUGAAAGUCCGGGGCUCAACUCCGGAUCUGCGGUGGGUACGGGCAGACUAGAGUGAUGUAGGGGAGACUGGAAUUCCAGGUGUAGCGGUGAAAUGCGUAGAUAUCUGGAGGAACACCAAUAGCGAAGGCAGCUCGCUGGGACGGUACUGACGCUAAGGCGCGAAAGCGUGGGGAGCGAACAGG